ACGUCUCUGUGUAAUCUCUACGUCUCUGUGUAAUCUAUACGUCUCUGUGUAAUCUCUACAGAAGAAGACACCAGGUCGGUAUGUAGGUCUAUACUUGAAGUACCUUCCUCAGAGCCUCCAUCUUCUGCAUGUCUCUGCGUCUGAGGCGUAUCCAGCGACGACGGCGGUUGGUAUGGUACAUCUUCUCGGCUGGUACCCAGGCCUUGGGCCUCCGAUCUGGGGGAAUAGUCAGGCCGUACUCCCACCCUGGGGAGGAAGAAGAGAAGAGACAAAAGAGAUGGAGUGUGAUGGUCCAGUCUUAUGGAGUGUGAUGGUCCAGUCUUAGUGAUGGAGUGUGAUGGUCCAGUCUUAGAGAUGGAGUGUGAUGGUCCAGUCUUAGAGAUGGAGUGUGAUGGUCCAGUCUUAUGGAGUGUGAUGGUCCAGUCU
rnacentral:lncRNA from 13 species